rnacentral:rRNA from 1 species
UACGAAGGGGGCUAGCGUUGCUCGGAAUCACUGGGCGUAAAGCGCACGUAGGCGGACUCUUAAGUCAGGGGUGAAAUCCUGGAGCUCAACUCCAGAACUGCCUUUGAUACUGGGAGUCUUGAGUUCGGGAGAGGUGAGUGGAACUGCGAGUGUAGAGGCGAAAUUCGUAGAUAUUCGCAAGAACACCAGUGGCGAAGGCGGCUCACUGGUCCGGUACUGACGCUGAGGUGCGAAAGCGUGGGGAGCAAACAGG